rnacentral:misc_RNA from 1 species
AACGCACGAGACCUGCGGACCUGCGGAGGGAUCAUUACCGAGUUUACAACUCCCAAACCCAAUGUGAACCAUACCAAACUGUUGCCUCGGCGGGGUCACGCCCCGGGUGCGUCGCAGCCCCGGAACCAGGCGCCCGCCGGAGGGACCAACCAAACUCUUUCUGUAGUCCCCUCGCGGACGUUAUUUCUUACAGCUCUGAGCAAAAAUUCAAAAUGAAUCAAAACUUUCAACAACGGAUCU